CUCGGGACAGCUGACUCUCUGUUUAAGUGGAAACACAGGCUCGACUGUAAACUCUGGGGAUCCUGAUCAAAGCAGGUCACCCGCCUUCGCAAAACAGACCAUCUGAUCUCCAUUUGGUAUCAACAACAGAUGAGCUGAUGGACUAGCCGCAAGUCUGACAUAAUAAAGGCAAAAAGCUUUCAGCCUACAAUAAACUUACCUUGAGGCUACAGGAAUGCCUUCUUUGAAUGUUCUCAGGCAUUACUUGAUCUGUCUCACCCAAUUAAUACUAAUACACUACUCAGCUAAUACAAGGACUUCAAGGAUUUGUUACCCAUCAUCAUGACAGCAAUGAAGCAUACGGCACAAGAUCUCAUCGUAUUCCUGGUGUUACAGCGGUACCAAAGUGGAGCAGGUGUCGAGGUUGGCCAAGAACUGAACUCUUCCCUCUCCUCAGGCCGACGGAGAGCUCCAGGGAACGCAGGUUCACCUUCUCCUCCCAUGCGGAUUUACAAGCUGCCAUCCGGUUGCAAAACCAGUCAAUGAAGCUGGGGUAUGAGAAGGUGCUUCUUCACUCAGUGUGACUCCUUGGCAGGGCGGUAGCCAGGACAUAAGAACAAAUGCACUGCAAUGAACUAGAACUGUACAUAAAUUGAUGCAUGGUUUCUAGCUGAAUGCCCAGGAAGCCUAUGAGUUGAUCACAAUCCUCUUCUCUGGCCUUAUAAUCUAUGCAUCUCUGACAAGAAAACAAGACUGCUUCUUCCCCUUCUAAUUCUUAGGAGGCUUAUGCUCCACUAUCCCAGCGAUGGAAGAAAGAAAGAAUAAGGAAAGGUGAAACAACUGCAGUGCAAAUAAACCAAGAGUAAUGUUCCGACAUUGAAAAAUCCAAACAUUGCAAGUAGUCCCGGCAGAGCAGUCAAUCACUGCUCCAGGAUGCCAUCAGGAGUAUAAAGCUGGGUAAACUGUAAGAAACUCUAGAAUUGCAAGUAUCACUUGGGGAGAAAUUCUGACAAAGAGAAGUGAUAGACACAUCAUGUUCUGAAUAUACAGCGUUACUUCUUUAAUGUUUAUGUGCCCACAGUGUUCCGUAAACAAAUGCUUUUGUGCAUUAAGAGACAUAAUAAAGAUUCUUACUCCUUCACAA